UACGGAGGAUGCAAGCGUUAUCCGGAUUCAUUGGGUUUAAAGGGUGCGCAGGCGGAGAGAUAAGUCAGUGGUGAAAAACUGCCGCUCAACGGUAGUCUUGCCAUUGAUACUGUCUUUCUUGAGUAUGGAUGAGGUAGGCGGAAUGUGCAGUGUAGCGGUGAAAUGCAUAGAUAUUGCACGGAACACCAAUUGCGAAGGCAGCUUACUGGACCAUUACUGACGCUCAGGCACGAAAGCGUGGGGA
rnacentral:rRNA from 1 species